UACGUAGGGGGCAAGCGUUGUCCGGAAUCAUUGGGCGUAAAGAGCGUGUAGGCGGCUUGGUAAGUCCGCUGUGAAAGUCCAGGGCUCAACCCUGGAAAGCCGGUGGAAACUGUCAAGCUUGAGUCCGGAAGAGGCGAGUGGAAUUCCUGGUGUAGCGGUGAAAUGCGCAGAUAUCAGGAGGAACACCAAUGGCGAAGGCAGCUCGCUGGGACGGUACUGACGCUGAGGAGCGAAAGCAUGGGGAGCGAACAGG
rnacentral:rRNA from 1 species